AGUGAACGCUGGCGGCAGGCCUAACACAUGCAAGUCGAACGGCAGCACAGUAAGAGCUUGCUCUUACGGGUGGCGAGUGGCGGACGGGUGAGGAAUACAUCGGAAUCUACUUUUUCGUGGGGGAUAACGUAGGGAAACUUACGCUAAUACCGCAUACGACCUACGGGUGAAAGCAGUGGAUCUUCGGACCUUGCGCGAUUGAAUGAGCCGAUGUCGGAUUAGCUAGUUGGCGGGGUAAAGGCCCACCAAGGCGACGAUCCGUAGCUGGUCUGAGAGGAUGAUCAGCCACACUGGAACUGAGACACGGUCCAGACUCCUACGGGAGGCAGCAGUGGGGAAUAUUGGACAAUGGGCGCAAGCCUGAUCCAGCCAUACCGCGUGGGUGAAGAAGGCCUUCGGGUUGUAAAGCCCUUUUGUUGGGAAAGAAAAGCAGCAGGUUAAUACCCCGCUGUUCUGACGGUACCCAAAGAAUAAGCACCGGCUAACUUCGUG
rnacentral:rRNA from 1 species